ensembl:processed_transcript Mtag2 metastasis associated gene 2
GAUGUCACCUGAAUCUAGUAGCGCGCAGCAUGGAACGCGAGUCGCGACCCCGGGUCCCCACGGCGGCGCGCGUCUCACGGGACACGAGGGUUGGGCGGCGGGAUAGGAAUUCAACAUUCAAGGUGGGAUUUUUUUUUUUAAGACAAGGGCGGCUCCCGGAAGGAUGUGCUCGGUUGGAAGGUGAGGCAAGUGGACGACGGGUGGCGAGUGCGUGUUACUCUGCACCCCUGCGCCCGUCUAGGGUACUGCAUGCGCCCCACCAACCCGACUCCUACGCAGACGGUGGCACGGCCCGCAGGGUUCCCCCAGUGGAUGGUUCGCUCCGCCCCGCCUACAGAGGCAAUGAUCAGGCGGCUUCUGCUGGUUUCAAGACUCCCGCGUCCGACUCACUGGAGACCUUGCCAGGCCUUGGCCUUCCGAACCUCUUAAGGGUUGGGGGCAGUGGUCUUUAGUGGUGCUCCCUGGCGCUCACAUAGACGCAGCCUUGGGUCGGGCUAGUCUCUGGGACACCGGCCAGCCUCCGCCUUCAGAGCUGCGCGAGCGUUGUCUAUCAUGGUACACAGACUGGAAUGAGCUUGUUCUUAACCUCAGCUUCACUGUCCUCCUCCCCCACAGAGACUAUUCCAGGAUGCGCGACAGACACACAAGACACUCGGUGAGGGUUAAAGAUCUUUAAAUAAGGAGCCAGUGACAAUAAAUAAUACUGUACAGGGG